rnacentral:rRNA from 1 species
UACGGAGGGUCCAAGCGUUAUCCGGAAUCAUUGGGUUUAAAGGGUCCGUAGGCGGUUUUGUAAGUCAGUGGUGAAAGCCCAUCGCUCAACGGUGGAACGGCCAUUGAUACUGCAAGACUUGAAUUAUUAGGAAGUAACUAGAAUAUGUAGUGUAGCGGUGAAAUGCUUAGAGAUUACAUGGAAUACCAAUUGCGAAGGCAGCCCCCUGGGCUGACACUGACGCUCAGGCACGAAAGCGUGGGGAGCAAACAGG